rnacentral:rRNA from 1 species
CCUACGGGGUGCAGCAGUGAGGAAUAUUGGUCAAUGGGCGGGAGCCUGAACCAGCCAAGUCGCGUGAGGGAAGAAGGUACUGAGUAUUGUAAACCUCUUUUGCCAGGGGACAAAGGCGGCCACGGGUGGCCGGAAGAGGGUACCUGGAGAAAAAGCAUAGGCUAACUCCGUGCCAGCAGCCGCGGUAAUACGGAGGAUGCGAGCGUUAUCCGGUUUUAUGGGGUUUAAAGGGUUCGAAGGGGGCGUGCCAAGUCAGCGGUAAAAUGUCGGGUCUCAACCCCGGCCGGCCGUUGAAACUGGCGUGCUCGAGUGGGGGAGAGGUAUGCGGAAUUCGUGGUGUAGCGGUGAAAUGCAUAGAUAUCACGAAGAACCCCGAUUGCGAAGGCAGCAUACCGGCUCCACACUGACGCUGAGGCACGAAAGCGUGGGUAUCGAACAGGAUUAGAUACCCUUGUAGUC